rnacentral:rRNA from 1 species
GGUCUUGACAUCCACGGAAGUUUUCAGAGAUGAGAAUGUGCCUUCGGGAACCGUGAGACAGGUGCUGCAUGGCUGUCGUCAGCUCGUGUUGUGAAAUGUUGGGUUAAGUCCCGCAACGAGCGCAACCCUUAUCCUUUGUUGCCAGCGGUCCGGCCGGGAACUCAAAGGAGACUGCCAGUGAUAAACUGGAGGGAGGUGGGGAUGACGUCAAGUCAUCAUGGCCCUUACGACCAGGGCUACACACGUGCUACAAUGGCGCAUACAAAGAGAAGCGACCUCGCGAGAGCAAGCGGACCUCAUAAAGUGCGUCGUAGUCCGGAUUGGAGUCUNCAACUCGNNNCCAUGAAGUCGGAAUCACUAGUAAUCGUGGAUCAGAAUGCCACGGUGAAUACGUUCCCGGGCCUUGUACACACCGCCCGUC